rnacentral:ncRNA from 1 species
UUGCGAGGACGACCUCGGCCAUUCAGGCUACAGCAGACGGGACGGCCCGG